rnacentral:rRNA from 1 species
UGGGGAAUAUUGCACAAUGGGGGAAACCCUGAUGCAGCGACGCCGCGUGAGCGAAGAAGGUUUUCGAAUCGUAAAGCUCUGUCCUAUGAGAAGAUAAUGACGGUAUCAUAGGAGGAAGCCCCGGCUAACUACGUGCCAGCAGCCGCGGUAAUACGUAGGGCGCAAGCGUUAUCCGGAAUUAUUGGGCGUAAAGAGCUUGUAGGCGGUUCGUCGCGUCUGGUGUGAAAGCCCAUCGCUUAACGGUGGGUUUGCGCCGGGUACGGGCGGGCUAGAGUGCAGUAGGGGAGACUGGAAUUCCCGGUGUAACGGUGGAAUGUGUAGAUAUCGGGAAGAACACCAAUGGCGAAGGCAGGUCUCUGGGCUGUUACUGACGCUGAGAAGCGAAAGCGUGGGGAGCGAACAGG